rnacentral:lncRNA from 1 species
CCGGUGCAGACCUAAAUGUGAAGGAAGGGAUUGGACAUUAAGAUGAAAGACCAUAAGGCCUUUAUACAUCAAUGACUUAACCAAGAAUGUCUCCCAAACUCCCGAGAAGAGCACUGUUGGAUAUCAUACCUGAGAGACAUUGCAAGAAUGUCAAGGAUCUGGCAUUGUUGGAUGUUGGAGGCCAACUUGGUCUACAGCUCUAGAAAAACUGAGGUUACAUAGUAAGAUUCUGUCUAAACUCCAGAGGAGGGACAUCUGGCUUCCACAGAUCGCUGGGGACACAGGAAGAUAUAUACAAUUUUAAA